rnacentral:rRNA from 1 species
GAUGAACGCUGGCGGCGUGCCUAAUACAUGCAAGUCGAGCGAACAGACGAGGAGCUUGCUCCUCUGACGUUAGCGGCGGACGGGUGAGUAACACGUGGAUAACCUACCUAUAAGACUGGGAUAACUUCGGGAAACCGGAGCUAAUACCGGAUAAUAUAUUGAACCGCAUGGUUCAAUAGUGAAAGACGGUUUUGCUGUCACUUAUAGAUGGAUCCGCGCCGCAUUAGCUAGUUGGUAAGGUAACGGCUUACCAAGGCGACGAUGCGUAGCCGACCUGAGAGGGUGAUCGGCCACACUGGAACUGAGACACGGUCCAGACUCCUACGGGAGGCAGCAGUAGGGAAUCUUCCGCAGUGGGCGAAAGCCUGACGGAGCAACGACGCGUGAGUGAUGAAGGUCUUCGGAUCGUAAAACUCUGUUAUUAGGGAAGAACAAAUGUGUAAGUAACUAUGCACGUCUUGACGGUACCUAAUCAGAAAGCCACGGCUAACUACGUG